rnacentral:rRNA from 1 species
GACGAACGCUGGCGGCGUGCUUAACACAUGCAAGUCGAACGGAAAGGCCCUGCUUUUGUGGGGUGCUCGAGUGGCGAACGGGUGAGUAACACGUGAGUAACCUGCCCUUGACUUUGGGAUAACUUCAGGAAACUGGGGCUAAUACCGGAUAGGAGCUCCUGCUGCAUGGUGGGGGUUGGAAAGUUUCGGCGGUUGGGGAUGGACUCGCGGCUUAUCAGCUUGUUGGUGGGGUAGUGGCUUACCAAGGCUUUGACGGGUAGCCGGCCUGAGAGGGUGACCGGCCACAUUGGGACUGAGAUACGGCCCAGACUGCUACGGGAGGCAGCAGUGGGGAAUAUUGCACAAUGGGCGGAAGCCUGAUGCAGCAGCGCCGCGUGCGGGAUGACGGCCUUCGGGUUGUAAACCGCUUUCGCCUGUGACGAAGCGUGAGUGACGGUAAUGGGUAAAGAAGCACCGGCUAACUACGUG